rnacentral:rRNA from 1 species
UACGUAGGUGGCAAGCGUUGUCCGGAUUUACUGGGCGUAAAGAGCGCGCAGGCGGUCGUUCAAGUCGCGUGUGAAAGCCCCUGGCUCAACUGGGGAGGGUCACGCGAUACUGAUCGACUCGAAGGCAGGAGAGGGUAGUGGAAUUCCCGGUGUAGUGGUGAAAUGCGUAGAUAUCAGGAGGAACACCGGUGGCGAAGGCGGUUCUCUGGGCCUUACCUGACGCUGAGGAGCGAAAGCGUGGGGAGCAAACAGG